rnacentral:rRNA from 1 species
UAGCCUUGACAUACUACAGAAUUUGACAGAGAUGUUGGAGUGCCUUCGGGAGCUGUAAUACAGGUGCUGCACGGCUGUCGUCAGCUCGUGUCGUGAGAUGUUGGGUUAAGUCCCGCAACGAGCGCAACCCUCGUCCUUAGUUGCCAGCAGGUUAAGCUGGGCACUCUAAGGAGACUGCCUUCGUAAGGAGGAGGAAGGUGAGGACGACGUCAAGUCAUCAUGGCCCUUAUGGCUAGGGCUACACACGUGCUACAAUGGGGCGUACAGAGUGUUGCGAUACCGCGAGGUGGAGCUAAUCACUUAAAGCGUCUCUCAGUUCGGAUUGGAGUCUGCAACUCGACUCCAUGAAGCUGGAAUCACUAGUAAUCGUAGAUCAGCAAUGCUACGGUGAAUACGUUCCCGGGUCU